AACAGGAUUAGAUACCCUGGUAGUCCACGCCGUAAACGAUGUCGACUUGGAGGUUGUGCCCUUGAGGCGUGGCUUCCGGAGCUAACGCGUUAAGUCGACCGCCUGGGGAGUACGGCCGCAAGGUUAAAACUCAAAUGAAUUGACGGGGGCCCGCACAAGCGGUGGAGCAUGUGGUUUAAUUCGAUGCAACGCGAAGAACCUUACCUACUCUUGACAUCCAGAGAACUUAGCAGAGAUGCUUUGGUGCCUUCGGGAACUCUGAGACAGGUGCUGCAUGGCUGUCGUCAGCUCGUGUUGUGAAAUGUUGGGUUAAGUCCCGCAACGAGCGCAACCCUUAUCCUUUGUUGCCAGCGGUUCGGCCGGGAACUCAAAGGAGACUGCCAGUGAUAAACCGGAGGAAGGUGGGGAUGACGUCAAGUCAUCAUGGCCCUUACGAGUAGGGCUACACACGUGCUACAAUGGCAUAUACAAAGAGAAGCGACCUCGCGAGAGCAAGCGGACCUCAUAAAGUAUGUCGUAGUCCGGAUUGGAGUCUGCAACUCGACUCCAUGAAGUCGGAAUCGCUAGUAAUCGUGGAUCAGAAUGCCACGGUGAAUACGUUCCCGGGCCUUGUACACACCGCCCGUCACACCAUGGGAGUGGGUUGCAAAAGAAGUAGGUAGCUUAACCUUCGGGAGGGCGCUUACCACUUUGUGAUUCAUGACUGGGGUGAAGUCGUAACAAGGUAACC
rnacentral:rRNA from 1 species